UGUAUAAUGGGUCAGCGACUUAUAUUCUGUAGCAAGGUUAACCGAAUAGGGGAGCCGAAGGGAAACCGAGUCUUAACUGGGCGUUAAGUUGCAGGGUAUAGACCCGAAACCCGGUGAUCUAGCCAUGGGCAGGUUGAAGGUUGGGUAACACUAACUGGAGGACCGAACCGACUAAUGUUGAAAAAUUAGCGGAUGACUUGUGGCUGGGGGUGAAAGGCCAAUCAAACCGGGAGAUAGCUGGUUCUCCCCGAAAGCUAUUUAGGUAGCGCCUCGUGAAUUCAUCUCCGGGGGUAGAGCACUGUUUCGGCAAGGGGGUCAUCCCGACUUACCAACCCGAUGCAAACUGCGAAUACCGGAGAAUGUUAUCACGGGAGACACACGGCGGGUGCUAACGUCCGUCGUGAAGAGGGAAACAACCCAGACCGCCAGCUAAGGUCCCAAAGUCAUGGUUAAGUGGGAAACGAUGUGGGAAGGCCCAGACAGCCAGGAUGUUGGCUUAGAAGCAGCCAUCAUUUAAAGAAAGCGUAAUAGCUCACUGGUCGAGUCGGCCUGCGCGGAAGAUGUAACGGGGCUAAACCAUGCACCGAAGCUGCGGCAGCGACACUAUGUGUUGUUGGGUAGGGGAGCGUUCUGUAAGCCUGUGAAGGUGGCCUGUGAGGGUUGCUGGAGGUAUCAGAAGUGCGAAUGCUGACAUAAGUAACGAUAAAGCGGGUGAAAAGCCCGCUCGCCGGAAGACCAAGGGUUCCUGUCCAACGUUAAUCGGGGCAGGGUGAGUCGACCCCUAAGGCGAGGCCGAAAGGCGUAGUCGAUGGGAAACAGGUUAAUAUUCCUGUACUUGGUGUUACUGCGAAGGGGGGACGGAGAAGGCUAUGUUGGCCGGGCGACGGUUGUCCCGGUUUAAGCGUGUAGGCUGGUUUUCCAGGCAAAUCCGGAAAACCAAGGCUGAGGCGUGAUGACGAGGCACUACGGUGCUGAAGCGACAAAUGCCCUGCUUCCAGGAAAAGCCUCUAAGCAUCAGGUAACAUCAAAUCGUACCCCAAACCGACACAGGUGGUCAGGUAGAGAAUACCAAGGCGCUUGAGAGAACUCGGGUGAAGGAACUAGGCAAAAUGGUGCCGUAACUUCGGGAGAAGGCACGCUGAUAUGUAGGUGAAGCGACUUGCUCGUGGAGCUGAAAUCAGUCGAAGAUACCAGCUGGCUGCAACUGUUUAUUAAAAACACAGCACUGUGCAAACACGAAAGUGGACGUAUACGGUGUGACGCCUGCCCGGUGCCGGAAGGUUAAUUGAUGGGGUUAGCGGCAACGCGAAGCUCUUGAUCGAAGCCCCGGUAAACGGCGGCCGUAACUAUAACGGUCCUAAGGUAGCGAAAUUCCUUGUCGGGUAAGUUCCGACCUGCACGAAUGGCGUAAUGAUGGCCAGGCUGUCUCCACCCGAGACUCAGUGAAAUUGAACUCGCUGUGAAGAUGCAGUGUACCCGCGGCAAGACGGAAAGACCCCGUGAACCUUUACUAUAGCUUGACACUGAACAUUGAGC
rnacentral:rRNA from 1 species